UAUACCCCGAGGGACUUGAUAUAGGAUGAUUACGAAGGGCAAGGUACCUAAGAUGAAGGUGGAGUUUUGGGGAGGUGGAGGGAUGCUGGAACAGCUGCGACUGGAGAGAGGUAAGCAGCUGCUUAUAUACUCUGGCUGUUGAUUGAAAGAUUAGAUGGGCUCGCUCCUCCCUAACUUACGUUAAGGAACUUCAUU